AUCCAUAGACAAAACCCUACUUCCAAUUUAUUCUCUUCUCUUUUAGUUUCUUGUUUCUUUUUUGUUUUAUUGCUUGAAACUCUCAGUGUCUGUCUCUGCAGAAGUCUCAUGAAAACCCCAUGAAUUGGUCUAUAAAAUACACAGCGUCAUCUAUCUGGUGCGGAUCCAUUCCCAAAAUCAAACUGUGUAGGUGGCAAAAGCAAUUAGUUAAAAGCAAAUUUGAUUCAUCCAGUAACAUUGAUGAUGCUUUGGCUUCCUUUAAUUUGAUCCUUCGUAGGAAUCGGUCACCACCUUUGGUGGAAUUUAUGUAGAUCAUGAGACUGUCAUUUGUUUGUCUAUCUAAAGGGAUGGAAUUGUUUGGUGUUUAACUCAAUUUUUAUUCUAUUAAAUAUUUGACCUAAUUGCUUUUUCUUCUUACAUCGUGCGGAUUCUGGGUACUCUCCUAUUCAGAUUGAUUCCAUAGCUUCAUCAAAUUUAUCCUCCCUACCUUUAAUGGGCUUGGUAGGGAGGAUAAUUUUGUUGAAGCUGUGUAAUCGUUUGAUGAUAUUGUUGCGAAAGGGUAUCACCUGAUAUUUAUACCUCUACUGUGAUUUUUCUAUGCAGAAUUCUAGGUUCCUUUUUACCUUGCUUAUAAUGAUAGUUUGGCUGUCUGAAUUUUUUUUUUGGUUUAAUAAUCUUAUAUGAUGUCUACAAUUGAAGAACACAAUUUUACCUUUAGUUGAACUUUUCUGUGAAGGAUUUGAGUUGCUGUGGUUUCAUCACGUUGUCAAAAGAUUAAAAUUGGUACUCAUUAUUUAACCAAUAUAGCUUAUUCUGCCUAUAUGCAUAUAUAUAUAUAUAUAUAUAUAUAUUUUGGUAGAGAAUGGAUUUGAACUUUUAAUCUGACUAAUGUUUUACUUUUCCUUUAGCAAUUAUUCGCUAUAUAUAGAUCAGGCAAAAGUUGCAGCUGAGCCUUCACUGAUGUCUUGACAUUUUAAAGCUUUAAUGGUUGAGUUCGUUUAAGAUUUUUCAUUUUUUUUGGUUUUAACUUCCUAUGCCAAUUCCCCAAUUGACCACCAAUGUAUGUAAUCAAGCUUGUUGAUUUAUUUUUUUCAGCAUCUCAUAUGCAAGUGCAAACUUAGGCAUGUGAAUUGAAGCUCGAUAGAGAUUAGGAUCCUAGAAGUCUUUUUCUUUUUUCUUUUUUUUUAAAAUUUUUUUUUUAUAUAUUUUUAAUUCUGGCUCUUUAUUUUCACCCUGAAUUAGAGGUAUACACUCUUAUUUGUAGAAUAGGGCACUGGUAGUCAAAAGUUAUUCACAUGACUGAUUUUAACGUAUUUUCAAGGUGUUAAGUAAGUUAUUUUCACUUGGUCAAUAUAUAUAUUUUUACUUCAUAUUGUUAUCUAUAUGACUGAUCUGUGGUUUUCUAAGGGGUUUAGUAGUGUCUUUAGUAGGAAAAUGUUGGAGCUAGCUGCCCCUUAGUUAAGAGGGGAAUUGAUGUGUCUGUAAAAGCCCAAUAAUGGAGAGAUCAAUAGCAUUGUGCAUUUGAGUUUAACCACCAGGCAAGUAGCCGUGGAAGGGAAAGCUUAGUACUUUCUGUGCAAAUCUAACUCUUCAAAUGGUAGAAAGGAAUAGUUUUAGAGAGAAGAAUG